rnacentral:rRNA from 1 species
AGAGAGCUUGCUUUCUCGAGCGAGUGGCGAACGGGUGAGUAACGCGUGAGGAACCUGCCUCAAAGAGGGGGACAACAGUUGGAAACGACUGCUAAUACCGCAUAAGCCCACAGGUCGGCAUCGACCAGAGGGAAAAGGAGCAAUCCGCUUUGAGAUGGCCUCGCGUCCGAUUAGCUAGUUGGUGAGGUAAUGGCCCACCAAGGCGACGAUCGGUAGCCGGACUGAGAGGUUGAACGGCCACAUUGGGACUGAGACACGGCCCAGACUCCUACGGGAGGCAGCAGUGGGGAAUAUUGCACAAUGGGGGAAACCCUGAUGCAGCGACGCCGCGUGGAGGAAGAAGGUCUUCGGAUUGUAAACUCCUGUUGUUGAGGAAGAUAAUGACGGUACUCAACAAGGAAGUGACGGCUAACUACGUGCCAGCAGCCGCGGUAAAACGUAGGUCACAAGCGUUGUCCGGAAUUACUGGGUGUAAAGGGAGCGCAGGCGGGAAGACAAGUUGGAAGUGAAAUCUAUGGGCUCAACCCAUAAACUGCUUUCAAAACUGUUUUUCUUGAGUAGCGCAGAGGUAGGCGGAAUUCCCGGUGUAGCGGUGGAAUGCGUAGAUAUCGGGAGGAACACCAGUGGCGAAGGCGGCCUACUGGGCACCAACUGACGCUGAGGCUCGAAAGUGUGGGUAGCAAACAGGAUUAGAUACCCUGG